rnacentral:rRNA from 1 species
AGGGAUGACGGCCUUCGGGUUGUAAACCUCUUUCAGUAGGGAAGAAGCCGCAAGGUGACGGUACCUGCAGAAGAAGCGCCGGCUAACUACGUGCCAGCAGCCGCGGUAAUACGUAGGGCGCAAGCGUUAUCCGGAAUUAUUGGGCGUAAAGAGCUCGUAGGCGGUUUGUCGCGUCUGCCGUGAAAGUCCGGGGCUCAACUCCGGAUCUGCGGUGGGUACGGGCAGACUAGAGUGAUGUAGGGGAGACUGGAAUUCCUGGUGUAGCGGUGAAAUGCGCAGAUAUCAGGAGGAACACCGAUGGCGAAGGCAGGUCUCUGGGCAUUAACUGACGCUGAGGAGCGAAAGCAUGGGGAGCGAACAGGAUUAGAUACCCUGGUAGUCCAUGCCGUAAACGUUGGGCACUAGGUGUGGGGGACAUUCCACGUUUUC